GACGAACGCUGGCGGCGUGCCUAACACAUGCAAGUGGAGCGACGAACCAGACUUCGGUCUGGGGCCAAGCCGCGAACGGGUGAGUAACACGUGGGUAACCUGCCCCGAUGAUCGGGACAACCCGGGGAAACCCGGGCUAAUACCGAAUGUGGUCGCGGUCCGUGAGGACUGUGACGAAAGGAAGCUUCGGCCUCCGCAUCGGGAUGGGCCCGCGGCCCAUUAGCUUGUUGGUGGGGUAAUGGCCUACCAAGGCAUCGAUGGGUAGCUGGUCUGAGAGGACGAUCAGCCACACUGGGACUGAGACACGGCCCAGACUCCUACGGGAGGCAG
rnacentral:rRNA from 1 species